ensembl:lncRNA
GUACAAGCCUUCCUACGUCGACCAAAUGUAUUUCUCCGGGAUGGACUACAUCUGAAUAGGUACAAGCCUUCCUACGUCGACCAAAUGUAUUUCUCCGAGAUGGACUACAUCUGAAUAGGUACAAGCCUUUCUACGUCGACCAAAUGUAUUUCUCCGGGAUGGACUACAUCCUACGGUGUGGACUACGAUUCCCCAUCAGACGGACUUUAGAAGUAAUCUCAUCUCCAUCCAACUCAGGCCUGUCAGUAGUUACACAAGGAAGCGUCGCUCAUCUAAUAUUACCUUGAAUGCUCCAUCUGAUAUGAGCUCUGGAAACAGUGGCCUUGGAAUUAUUCAUUUGAAUGUUAGAAGCUUGAUCCAGAAGUUAGAUUUGAUUGAAAUACUGGUCUCACAAUCACAUGCUGACAUAUUGAUUAUAACUGUUACACCCUGAUCUGUUUCACCUGUCCUUGUGCUUGUCUCCACCCCCCUCCAGGUGUCACCCAUCUUCCCCACUUAUGUCUGUGCCAGUUCGUCUUGUUCAUCAAGCUUACCAGCGUUUGUCCUGUUAGCUCCUGUCUUUUCCCAGCCUCUCGUUUUCUCAUCCUCCGGGUUUUGACCCUUGCCUGUCCUGACCAUGUACCCGCCCGCCUGACCAUUCUACCUGACCCUGUACCCGCCCGCCUGACCACUCUGCCUGUCCCUGAGCUUGUACCCGCCCGCCUGACCACUCUGCCUGUCCCUGACCCUGAGCCUGUACCCGCCCGCCUGACCACUCUGCCUGUCCUGAGCCUGUACCCACCCGCCUGACCAUUCUGCCUGUCCCUGACCCUGUACCCGCCCGCCUGACCACUCUGCCUGUCCCUGACCCUGAGCCUGCCUGCCUGACCACUCUGCCUGUCCCCGAGCCAGUACCCACCCGCCUGACCACUCUGCCUGUCCCUGACCCUGAGCCUGCCUGUCCCUGACCCUGAGCCUGCCUGUCCCUGAGCCUGCCUGCCUGACCACUCUGCCUGUCCCUGACCCUGAGCCUGCCUGUCCCUGAGCCUGCCUGCCUGACCACUCUGCCUGACCCUGAGCCUGCCUGUCCCUGACCCUGAGCCUGCCUGUCCCUGAUCCUGCCUGACCCUGAGCCUGCCUGUCCCUGACCCUGAGCCUGCCUGUCCCUGACCCUGAGCCUGCCUGUCCCUGACCUUGAGCCUGCCUGUCCCUGACCCUGAGCCUGCCUGUCCCUGACCCUGAGCCUGCCUGUCCCUCACCCUGAGCCUGCCUGUCCCUGACCCUGAGCCUGCCUGCCGUCCUGUUAUAAUAAACAUUGUUACUUCACACAGUCUGCACUUGGGUCUUACCUUGAUACUUGAUACUCAUAUCUGAAUCCUGUCUGUGUGUCUCUGUUCCAGACUCAGAUGUUCUGUUAGCUGGGUAUAAUGACAGAGUGGGUAGAGGUAGACUCAGAUGUUCUGUUAACUGGGUAUAAUGUCUACAGACAGAGUGGGUUGGGUAGAGGUAGACUCAGAUGUUCUGUUAGCUGGGUAUAAUGACAGAGUGGGUAGAGGUAGACUCAGAUGUUCUGUCAGCUGGGUAUAAUGACAGAGUGGGUAGAGGUAGACUCAGAUGUUCUGUUAACUGGGUAUAAUGUCUACAGACAGAGUGGGUUGGGUAGAGGUAGACUCAGAUGUUCUGUCAGCUGGGUAUAAUGACAGAGUGGGUAGAGGUAGACUCAGAUGUUCUGUUAGCUGGGUAUAAUGUCUACAGAGCAGACAGAGUGGGUGGAG